CCUACGGGCGGCAGCAGUGAGGAAUAUUGGUCAAUGGGCGAGAGCCUGAACCAGCCAAGUCGCGUGAGGGAGUACUGCCCUAUGGGUUGUAAACCUCUUUUGUCGGGGAGCAAAAGCCGGACGUGUCCGGCUGUGAGAGUACCCGAAGAAAAAGCAUCGGCUAACUCCGUGCCAGCAGCCGCGGUAAUACGGAGGAUGCGAGCGUUAUCCGGAUUUAUUGGGUUUAAAGGGUGCGCAGGCGGAUUUUUAAGUCAGCGGUAAAAUCGUGGGGCUCAACCCCAUCCAGCCGUUGAAACUGGGGAUCUAGAGUGUGCGAGAGGUAUGCGGAAUGCGUGGUGUAGCGGUGAAAUGCAUAGAUAUCACGCAGAACCCCGAUUGCGAAGGCAGCAUACCGGUGCACAACUGACGCUCAGGCACGAAAGCGUGGGUAUCGAACAGGAUUAGAUACCUCGGUAGUC
rnacentral:rRNA from 1 species